GCAUACGGUGGAUGCCUUGGCAGCCAGAGGCGAUGAAGGACGUGAUAGCCUGCGAUAAGCGUUGGCGAGGUGGCAAAUACCCUGCGACCCAACGAUUUCCGAAUGGGGAAACCCACUCACCAUCAGGUGAGUAUCUAUAGGCCAAUACAUAACCUAUAGAGGCAAACCCGGGGAACUGAAACAUCUAAGUACCCGGAGGAAAAGAAAUCAACCGAGAUUCCCCAAGUAGCGGCGAGCGAACGGGGACCAGCCCUUAAGCGAUACAACUGACAGACGAACAAGCUGGGAAGCUUGACGAUACAGGGUGAUAGUCCCGUAGUCGAAGUCUGAGUAUCGUGAAAUCGAGUAGGUCGGGGCACGAGAAACCUUGACUGAACAUGGGGGGACCAUCCUCCAAGGCUAAAUACUCCUGACUGACCGAUAGUGAACCAGUACCGUGAGGGAAAGGCGAAAAGAACCCCUGUGAGGGGAGUGAAAUAGAACCUGAAACCGUGUACGUACAAGCAGUAGGAGCCCCUCGAGGGUGACUGCGUACCUUUUGUAUAAUGGGUCAGCGACUUAUAUUUUGUAGCGAGGUUAACCGAUUAGGGUAGCCGUAGGGAAACCGAGUCUUAACUGGGCGAAUAGUUGCAAGGUAUAGACCCGAAACCCGGUGAUCUAGCCAUGGGCAGGUUGAAGAUUGAGUAACAUCAAUUGGAGGACCGAACCCACUAACGUUGAAAAGUUAGGGGAUGACCUGUGGUUAGGAGUGAAAGGCUAAUCAAACCGGGAGAUAGCUGGUUCUCCCCGAAAUCUAUUUAGGUAGAGCCUCGGACGAAUACUUACGGGGGUAGAGCACUGUUAAGGCUAGGGGGUCAUCCCGACUUACCAACCCUUUGCAAACUCCGAAUACCGUAAAGUAAUAUCCGGGAGACACACGGCGGGUGCUAACGUCCGUCGUGAAGAGGGAAACAACCCAGACCGCCAGCUAAGGUCCCAAAGUCAUAGUUAAGUGGGAAACGAUGUGGAAAGGCCCAGACAGCCAGGAGGUUGGCUUAGAAGCAGCCAUCCUUUAAAGAAAGCGUAAUAGCUCACUGGUCGAGUCGGUCUGCGCGGAAGAUGUAACGGGGCUAAACUAUGCACCGAAGCUGCGGAUUCAGAAUUUAUUCUGAGUGGUAGGGGAGCGUUCUGUAAGCGGUUGAAGGUGUACCGGGAGGUAUGCUGGACGUAUCAGAAGUGCGAAUGCUGACAUGAGUAACGAUAAUGCGGGUGAAAAACCCGCACGCCGGAAGACCAAGGGUUCCUAUCCCAUGUUAAUCAGGGUAGGGUAAGUCGACCCCUAAGGCGAGGCCGAAAGGCGUAGUCGAUGGGAACCAGGUUAAUAUUCCUGGGCCAGGAGGAUGUGACGGAUCUCGAAGAUUGUUCGACCUUAUCGGAUUGGUCGGGCCGUUUAGAGGUCCCUGGAAAUAGCCCUCCAUGAGACCGUACCCUAAACCGACACAGGUAGAUUGGUAGAAUAUACUAAGGCGUUCAAGAUAAGUAUGUUGAAGGAACUCGGCAAAUUAGCUCUGUAACUUCGGAAAAAGGAGUAAUAAACAAUAAUUUUUGUUUAUUGUCAUUAAAGAAGGGGAAGCGACUGUUUAAUAAAAACACAUGUCUCUGCAAAUUUGAAAAAAGAUGUAUAGAGGCUGACACCUGCCCGGUGCUGCAAGGUGAUGUGCGUUUGCUAAGGCAAUCAAACUAAUCCCCAGUAAACGGCGGCUGUAACUCUGACGGUCCAAAGGUAGCGAAAUUCCUUGUCGGGUAAGUUCCGACCUGCACGAAUGGCGUAACGACUUCCCCGCUGUCUCCAACGUUGACUCAGCGAAAUUGAAUUGCCUGUCAAGAUGCAGGCUUCCCGCGGUUAGACGGAAAGACCCCGUGCACCUUUACUACAGCUUCACACUGGCAUCAGGCCAAGCAUGUGCAGGAUAGGUGGUAGGCUUCGAAGCAGACACGCCAGUGUCUGUGGAGCCUCCCUUGAGAUACCACCCUUGCUUUGCUUGAUGUCUAACCGCGGUCCGUUAUCCGGAUCCGGGACCCUGUGUGGCGGGUAGUUUGACUGGGGCGGUCGCCUCCUAAAAAGUAACGGAGGCGUACAAAGGUAGAUUCGAAUAUAUUUUAUUUGGGAGCAUAAUGGCAUAUCUAUUUGACUGAAAGAUUAACAAAUCAAACAGGGAUGUAAGUCGGUCAUAGUGAUCUGGUGAUUCUGUGUGGAAAGGUCAUCACUCAACGAAUAAAAGGUACGCCGGGGAUAACAGGCUGAUACUGCCCAAGAGUCCAUAUCGACGGCAGUGUUUGGCACCUCGAUGUCGGCUCAUCACAUCCUGGGGCUGAAGUCGGUCCCAAGGGUAUGGCUGUUCGCCAUUUAAAGUGGUACGCGAGCUGGGUUUAGAACGUCGUGAGACAGUUCGGUCCCUAUCUGCCGUGGGCGUUUGAGAAUUGAGAGGGGUUGCUCCUAGUACGAGAGGACCGGAGUGAACGAACCGCUGGUGUUCGGGUUGUCAUGCCAAUGGCAUUGCCCGGUAGCUACGUUCGGAACUGAUAAGCGCUGAAAGCAUCUAAGCGCGAAGCAGGCCUCGAGAUGAGUUCUCACUAGACUUUUAAAGUCUCUGAAGGGCCGUUGAAGACUACAACGUUGAUAGGCAAGAUGUGGAAGUGGUGUGAGCCAUUAAGCUAACUUGUACUAAUUACCCGUGAGGCUUAACC
rnacentral:rRNA from 1 species